UCUCCUUUUUUUCAUCACAAGGCUAACUUCACUUUCUUUUUAAAAUUUCCUUUCUUUUGUGUACUUUGAAGGCACCCAUGGGUUUGUAAUAACUUUCAUUUCAAAAAGAAUCUAUAAAUAUAUCUAGCAAAUAAUUUGGUUAUAGAAAAACUUUGGGGGAUAAAGUUUGAAUUGGUUGGGGUGAACUCAGGACUUUGGGGAUUUGCUUUAGCCAUUUAGAUAUCUCCGUUCCUUGCAUAUAUGUCUAUAAUUAUUUCAGAGUGUGACUUUUUUUGGCUUUGUUUUUUGGGUAUGUAUGUUUCUUCCAUUGUGCUACUCUGGCUUAAGCUUUUUCAGGGGUUGGUGUUCCGAAUACACAGUGAGCUCACAGUAUAAAGACAUCAAUUAGGAGUUGACAGGUAUGGAAAACUAGAGUUUUGAAAAGGUAAAAUUAGGUUCUAGGUUAUAUACAUGAUAAAAAAAAACUCACCAUAGCCUUCACUUGACCUUAGUAGUGCUUCUCUUUCUGUGACUUUUAUAAAAGUGAAAAGUAAUGAGACAAAGAUAAAUAGCAUUUCAGUUAUUUUAGGAGCAGCAUAAUUUCAGGAUUAAUGAUUUUAGCAUUUCUGAGACACUAGUUCUAACAAAGAGGUAGAUGUCAGCAGUUCGAGAUUAUCAUUAAAUAAUGGUUUAAACAUUGGAAAGGUAUAGGCUUGCAUAGGAGGGCAUUUCUGAAGCAUAAGAUCUUAAAGCAGAAUAAUUAAGGCCAUAAAACAAAAUUAGUGGCAGGAAUAGAAAUACAACUUAUCCAUUUUAAUAGCCUUCUUGUUAGUUAAUAUACUAUCCCCUCCUGCCUCCUCCUGUCUACCUACCCUUUUCCUCCUUUUUCCUCUCCUUCCUAAAGUUGUAGCUCUAAUGUGAGUUGUUAUCAUUUUGGGAGUUAAUCCUCUUUCUUAUAGGUAGAAUUUUAGUGACUUUUAGUCAAGACCUUUUCAAGGUAUAUUUCUCUUUGGUGUCCUAUUCAAGGAGGCUGGCUGUAAGUCCAGUAACCCAGUAGUUAGGGCACAGGAAAUCCUGGCUUAUAAUGCUAUUUCCACAGCUGAAGGCAAAAAUUAAGUCAUCAACUUGUUUUGUACUUCAGCUCACUCAUAUGAGGUAGGGACAGUCAUUCCUCUCAGCCUCUUAAGAUAGAGAUAUUUGUCUCUUGAACUGAAAUUUACUAAGAGAAGAAUCCUGGAUGCCCUCCUGCAAUAAUUUAUGACGUAUAGAAGGACCUUAUUUUAUUGCUGAUAAGAAUGGCCAGCAUUUGUGUGUGUGCUCUACGUGGUUGUGUGGGAUGUGGAGGAUUUAUGACCCUACAUUCUGCUGCUGCUGCUGCGGGCGCACGCCACCCCCCCAAGAUCACUGACAGGUUGAGAAUGAUCUUGCUUUCCGAUUUCACCAUAUUCAGACUAUAUUAGAUGGUCCUUAUAUAGCAUAUAAAUAAACCUGGCUGCUACUGUGGGGUUUGGGAACAUGAGGGGUGGGGUGAAUUGUUGUUGUUUUAGGUUUCAGUCAGACAGCCAUCCCUGUGCCCCAGUUCCCAGAAGCACAGCAGGCCUCUAGGAGCAUCCGUGGGAACGGCGCAGUCCUGACAUCACCAACUCUCCUGCUCAGGCUCAUCCCAUAUACAGAGGUCAAAGGGUGGGGCUUGAGACGGGGGAAGGAAUGAGAAAGUAGAAACAAUGUCACUGCAGUGCCACUGUUGACUGGCCUUUGGUGCUUAUGUCAGUGUUUAUUUUAUUUUUUAAGUUCACAGAGUAAAUUUUUAUUUGGGGUAAAAGUAGUGGGAGGGUGGAACAAAAACAAGCCAUUAUUACUAGUUCAUCAUCACUAGCUCAUUCUUGCAUAUUGUUCUUUAGUAGCUAAUAAAGAAUGAAUUUGAAAACUAGACCUCAGUUAAGAAAGAGAAUGGGAGUAGAAAUGAAUCUCAGGAUAUUAAAAAACAAAACAUUUAUGCGGUAUUAAUUUCCAGUUCUACAACAGCUGUUACAUUUGUCACUUUCCCUUUUUUGCCCUAAUUCUUCUAUAUAUGUGUACAGUUUGAGGAAAUGUGCGUUUGUGGUCAGUCCUUUUAAAAGGACCUUAUGAAAUUACUAGUCUUUUGCAAAAAUAUACCCAUUGCUUGUAUGGGCAUACAAAUGCUACCCUAUUUUAAAUGUAGGUGGCGUAUGUGUUCGUGUUUUAAUGUAUUCAGAGCCAUUGGGCAAUAAGCAGUCCAGAACAUGAAAACACAAGCAGCAGAGAAAUAAACUGGUAGGUGGCAGCAGAAGAAGGAAUUCUUCAGAUUGAUGGCUACUGACAAAAUCUGCAUAGGAGAAGAGAUAGAGCAUGACAUACCACGUCAAGCAAAAGGGGCAAAAAUGGAAACAGGACUACAAUUGCUCUAAGUGGUUCUUUUGAUCUCACAGAAUGAAUAAAGACAGUAUUUUCUCAUAUGGAAGAUAGAAAUACACAGAACAAGGAAGCAGUAGCUCUAACCUGUUUAAUUCAAUGUGCUUUCUAAAAUAAAAACACCAUAGCUGGAAAUGAAAGAGCAUGGAGUAUGAUUUGUUCUUUUGUCAGUUAUUUCUACCCACUCCAUUUUGUAUGAGUUCACUUCAGUAUGUAUAUCUAGACUUGAUGUCUAGCUCCACAUGGGUCAUUUUUUUUUUCUUCACUUUUUGCAAGAUGAAACUCCUUGGUUCUUGCCAGACUGAUCUCUCUAUAAUAUAUUCUGAUAUGAUUGCUCCUUUUGGCACAAAGAUAGGUACUGAAAUGUGUAUUAUGUGGAUUUUCUCCUGCCCUUUUCAUCUCAGUUUAUCCGUCCAUGCUGAAUAAUUGUUGCUAUGUUUUUAUCUCUGAAGAAAUGCAGCCUUUUUUCUGCUUCACUCUGACAAGGCUCUGGCACACACCUGUCAUAGCAUUGCUCACUAAAUUUUAAUCUUGUGACUGGAGACCAUGUCUGACCUAGUUUAUUUGAACUGUGGGGCAUCUAAUAAUAUACAUGUGUAUACAGAGGCAGCCUUAGUACUUUUGAUAAAGUGCACUUUGUAAGCAGAUGCUGAUACAAAUUCUGAUUUCAUUACUUACUAUUUAUAUGGUCUUUGGACAAGUCACCUUCUGCAAGUCAUAAAGGAGUGUUUAUUAAAAAAUGGAAAUAAUUGUACCUACUUUACUGGAUUAAUA